CCCAGCCCGGGGCGAGCCCAAGGCCCCGUCCCCAGCGGUGAGGAAGGGCACCUGCUGGGUCCAGAUGCUGGGGGGACCGCGGGACUGGGCUUGGCCCACACACGUGCCUGCUUCCUCGAGGCUGGUGUGAAAGGCUGUUACCGGGAAUUUCUAAAGACAAGGGUGACUUUUAACUUGAGGACCAAAGAGACUGACUUGUUCACGAGGUUCCAGUGUUGGAUGUCAACCCCA